rnacentral:rRNA from 1 species
GACGAACGCUGGCGGCGUGCUUAACACAUGCAAGUCGAACGAUGACGACCGAGCUUGCUCGGUCUGAUUAGGGCGAACGGGGGAGUAACCCGUGAGCAACCUGCCCUUCACUCUGGGAUAACCUCGGGAAAUCGGGGCUAAUACCGGAUAUGAGCUCCUGUCGCAUGGCGGGUGUUGGAAAGUUUUUCGGUGAAGGAUGGGCUCGCGGCCUAUCAGUUUGUUGGUGAGGUAGUGGCUCACCAAGGCGAUGACGGGUAGCCGGCCUGAGAGGGCGACCGGCCACACUGGGACUGAGACACGGCCCAGACUCCUACGGGAGGCAGCAGUGGGGAAUAUUGCACAAUGGGCGAAAGCCUGAUGCAGCGACGCCGCGUGAGGGAUGACGGCCUUCGGGUUGUAAACCUCUUUCAGCAGGGAAGAAGCGAAAGUGACGGUACCUGCAGAAGAAGCGCCGGCUAACUACGUG